rnacentral:misc_RNA from 1 species
CCGAGUUUACCAACUCCCAAACCCCUGUGAACAUACCCGAACGUUGCCUCGGCGGGACCGCCCCGGCGCCCCCUCGCGGCCCGGACCCAGGCGCCCGCCGGAGGACCCAAACUCUUGCUUUGAACAGUGGAAUUCGCUCUCUGAGUCUCACAAACAAAAAUGAAUCA